rnacentral:rRNA from 1 species
CCUAGGAAUCUGCCUGGUAGUGGGGGACAACGUUUCGAAAGGAACGCUAAUACCGCAUACGUCCUACGGGAGAAAGCAGGGGACCUUCGGGCCUUGCGCUAUCAGAUGAGCCUAGGUCGGAUUAGCUAGUUGGUGGGGUAAUGGCUCACCAAGGCGACGAUCCGUAACUGGUCUGAGAGGAUGAUCAGUCACACUGGAACUGAGACACGGUCCAGACUCCUACGGGAGGCAGCAGUGGGGAAUAUUGGACAAUGGGCGAAAGCCUGAUCCAGCCAUGCCGCGUGUGUGAAGAAGGUCUUCGGAUUGUAAAGCACUUUAAGUUGGGAGGAAGGGCAGUAAGUUAAUACCUUGCUGUUUUGACGUUACCGACAGAAUAAGCACCGGCUAACUCUGUGCCAGCAGCCGCGGUAAUACAGAGGGUGCAAGCGUUAAUCGGAAUUACUGGGCGUAAAGCGCGCGUAGGUGGUUUGUUAAGUUGGAUGUGAAAGCCCCGGGCUCAACCUGGGAACUGCAUCCAAAACUGGCAANCUAGAGUACGGUAGAGGGUGGUGGAAUUUCCUGUGUAGCGGUGAAAUGCGUAGAUAUAGGAAGGAACACCAGUGGCGAAGGCGACCACCUGGACUGAUACUGACACUGAGGUGCGAANGCGUGGGGAGCAAACAGGAUUAGAUANCCUGGUAGUCCACGCCGUAAACGAUGUCANCUAGCCGUNGGNAUCCUUGAGAUUUUAGUGGCGCAGCUANCGCAUUANGNUGACCGCCUGGGGAGUACGGCNGCAAGGUNAAAACUCAANUGANUUGACGGGGNCCNGCACNAGCGGUGGAGCAUGUGGUUUANUUCGANGCA